ensembl:lncRNA
ACUAUUAAUGUGCCAUUUGACAGAUUAAAUCUGUUAGUGAUGUAGACUCACUCAAAUUCUAGUUGAUGAAUGUCAGUAUUAGAAAGAUACCUUUCUUAUUGCUGUAUACUGGAACACCUUCCUGUUUUAAAGACCCUAAUGAUUGGUAAUGGGCAUUAAAUCUGCUCCUGAUAAGGAAAUUUAGAUAAUCCUUUGGAAAAAUAAUGCAGAAUUAAAUGAGCUGCACAUUUUCUUUUAUUUCUCCACUCAUGCUACUUCCAUUCUGUGGAUAUCUUUUAAUUAAUUAUUUCCAGCACUGUCAAAAGUGUACUGCUGAAGACUGCAGGAUUCAUUGAUGGACAAGAAUAGUGUGGAAAUGUUCCUUAAUGUGUAGAAGACAGUAGAAUGUAGUACAUCUUUACUACUUUAGUACUAGACAGUAGAAAUGCAAGUGUUUUACUGGAAUUAUCAGUAUUUUUACAUGACUAAACAAAACAUUUUGACUAUGGGCAUGUUUGUUACUUGAAAUCAGAACAAGCAGACGAACGAACAAAAAAACUUUUUUGCUUUACUUCAAAAUCUGAGUAUUAUUCAAGAAAAUAUGCUCAUAUGCACCGAAAUAUUUAUCAAAAUGUCUAUUGCAAGGCAUUCUUUGCAGCUUGAAGGUUUUAAAGGAAAAAUAUAAUGACCUAUUUAUUAGGGCCAGGAGUUUAUUUUGAAGUUUUAUUGUACUUCUGAUUCUGUUGUCACACUUUCAACCACAUUGGUGCUGUUUCUAAUCACACUGGAGUAUAAAAAUAUAGAAUGUUCAUAAAUGGAUUUUUCAAUAAAAGGCCCACAGGAAAGAUAUCUCUAAUUUUCUGAUAAUGCAAACUUGACAUUUUAAUUAGAAAAAUAUGUACAUUCUAAGAAGUACCACUGCAAUAUCUGAGUUUCUUUUCCUCCUCAAAUUAACUUGCAUUUUAAGAUAAAAGGAAGGGGUGAAAGCUCCAUAAGAACUUUGUAUUGCUUAUAGUUCCAUUGAAUAUUGGCUGAAAGGAGUGCGCUGCCUGGAAGAUAGUCACUGGAAUGGUUUUCUGUAGUAUCCCAAGUUUAUUAAGAAAAGACUGUAGUCUUUAAAAGAAUUUUGUGUGCCUGAGCUGAUAGUGACAGAGAGAAAAGCAUUCAAAAAAAA